rnacentral:piRNA from 1 species
UGGCCUUUCUACUUGUCUUCUAUAUUCCGUC